rnacentral:tRNA from 4 species
GCCCCGGUGGUGGAAUGGUAGACACGAAGGACUUAAAAUCCUUUGGCCUUACGGCUGUGCGGGUUCAAGUCCCGCCCGGGGUA